UCCUUGGUGGUUCAAUGGUUAGAACUUGGCACUCUUACAGCCAGAGCCCAGGUUUGAUCCCAGUCAGGGGA
rnacentral:tRNA from 1 species